rnacentral:rRNA from 1 species
CCUACGGGGGGCUGCAGUGGGGAAUCUUGCGCAAUGGGCGAAAGCCUGACGCAGCGAUGCCGCGUGAGUGAUGAAGGCCUUCGGGUUGUAAAGCUCUGUGGGGAGAGAAGAAUAAGUCGUGGCGAAUAUCCACGGUGAUGACGGUAUCUCCUUAGCAAGCACCGGCUAACUCUGUGCCAGCAGCCGCGGUAAGACAGAGGGUGCAAACGUUGUUCGGAAUUACUGGGCGUAAAGCGAGUGUAGGCGGUGAAGUAAGUCGGACGUGAAAGCCCGGG